UACGUAGGGCGCAAGCGUUGUCCGGAAUUAUUGGGCGUAAAGAGCUCGUAGGCGGCUUGUCACGUCGAUUGUGAAAGCCCGAGGCUUAACCUCGGGUCUGCAGUCGAUACGGGCUAGCUAGAGUGUGGUAGGGGAGAUCGGAAUUCCUGGUGUAGCGGUGAAAUGCGCAGAUAGUCAGGAGGAACACCGGUGGCGAAGGCGGUUCUCUGGGCAUUACCUGACGCUGAGGAGCGAAAGUGUGGGGAGCGAACAGG
rnacentral:rRNA from 1 species